GUAGGUGGCAAGCGUUGUCCGGAAUUAUUGGGCGUAAAGCGCGCGCAGGCGGUUCUUUAAGUCUGAUGUGAAAGCCCACGGCUCAACCGUGGAGGGUCAUUGGAAACUGGAGAACUUGAGUACAGAAGAGGAAAGCGGAGUUCCACGUGUAGCGGUGAAAUGCGUAGAGAUGUGGAGGAACACCAGUGGCGAAGGCGGCUUUCUGGUCUGUAACUGACGCUGAGGCGCGAAAGCGUGGGGAGCAAACAGGGAUUAGAUACCCUGGUAGUCCACGCCGUAAACGAUGAGUGCUAAGUGUUAGGGGGUUUCCGCCCCCUUAGUGCUGCAGCUAACGCAUUAAGCACUCCGCCUGGGGAGUACGGCCGCAAGGCUG
rnacentral:rRNA from 1 species